rnacentral:rRNA from 1 species
GACGAACGCUGGCGGCGUGCUUAACACAUGCAAGUCGAGCGGGGAUGUUUCCUUCGGGGAACAUUCUAGCGGCGGACGGGUGAGUAACGCGUGAGCAAUCUGUCCCAGACAGGGGGAUGACACUUGGAAACAGGUGCUAAUACCGCAUAAGACCACGACACCACAUGGUGAUGGGGUAAAAGAAAUUCGGUUUGGGGUGAGCUCGCGUCCGAUUAGCUAGUUGGUGAGGUAACGGCCCACCAAGGCGACGAUCGGUAGCCGACCUGAGAGGGUGAUCGGCCACAUUGGAACUGAGACACGGUCCAA